AUCAAGUUUUAUAUGUUAUCGCAUCCCCUUUCUCAAUCACUCAAUGCCUUUUCUUUGACUGCCUUUCAUUAAUUAAUGCUAUACUUUAAAGAUGCGGUACAGUCCGUAUGUAAACAAAGGCUUUGUUUACAUUUCGGUAUCCAAAAUAUUGAAUUUUAUUCCACAACUAGUUAUAUUUUCAUGAUUCUAGAAAUUAUCAAGAAAGAGACAACAAUCAAGCUUUGCAAGAACAUAAAAUGAAAUAAAAACCUAAAUAAACUGUUUGUAAAUAAAAGAGGGCUCCUUUGUGCACAUGCACAGAUUGGACUGUACAUGCCGCAUCUUUAAUAGUAAUAAAGUCUCUGGUGUAGGAAAAUGCUCCGACUGUUAAAUAAAGUUUAACUAUAUUUUCCGUACAGUUUCUGUGCAGAGUUCGAGGGUUGAACUUCACGAAAAAUCACAGCAUUUUCCAACAAUGCCGACAUUUUGCUGGUGUAGUGUUUUAUAAAAAUCCGAUCAAAU